UAGGGAAUCUUCCACAAUGGACGCAAGUCUGAUGGAGCAACGCCGCGUGAGUGAAGAAGGUCUUCGGAUCGUAAAACUCUGUUGUUAGAGAAGAACACGAGUGAGAGUAACUGUUCAUUCGAUGACGGUAUCUAACCAGCGAGUCACGGCUAACUACGUGUCCAG
rnacentral:rRNA from 1 species